GCAGUCGACGAACUCUGGUAUUGAUUGGUGCUUGCAUCAUGAUUUACAUUUGAGUGAGUGGCGAACUGGUGAGUAACACGUGGGAAACCUGCCCAGAAGCGGGGGAUAACACCUGGAAACAGAUGCUAAUACCGCAUAACAACUUGGACCGCAUGGUCCGAGUUUGAAAGAUGGCUUCGGCUAUCACUUUUGGAUGGUCCCGCGGCGUAUUAGCUAGAUGGUGGGGUAACGGCUCACCAUGGCAAUGAUACGUAGCCGACCUGAGAGGGUAAUCGGCCACAUUGGGACUGAGACACGGCCCAAACUCCUACGGGAGGCAGCAGUAGGGAAUCUUCCACAAUGGACGAAAGUCUGAUGGAGCAACGCCGCGUGAGUGAAGAAGGGUUUCGGCUCGUAAAACUCUGUUGUUAAAGAAGAACAUAUCUGAGAGUAACUGUUCAGGUAUUGACGGUAUUUAACCAGAAAGCCACGGCUAACUACGUGCCAGCAGCCGCGGUAAUACGUAGGUGGCAAGCGUUGUCCGGAUUUAUUGGGCGUAAAGCGAGCGCAGGCGGUUUUUUAAGUCUGAUGUGAAAGCCUUCGGCUCAACCGAAGAAGUGCAUCGGAAACUGGGAAACUUGAGUGCAGAAGAGGACAGUGGAACUCCAUGUGUAGCGGUGAAAUGCGUAGAUAUAUGGAAGAACACCAGUGGCGAAGGCGGCUGUCUGGUCUGUAACUGACGCUGAGGCUCGAAAGUAUGGGUAGCAAACAGGAUUAGAUACCCUGGUAGUCCAUACCGUAAACGAUGAAUGCUAAGUGUUGGAGGGUUUCCGCCCUUCAGUGCUGCAGCUAACGCAUUAAGCAUUCCGCCUGGGGAGUACGGCCGCAAGGCUGAAACUCAAAGGAAUUGACGGGGGCCCGCACAAGCGGUGGAGCAUGUGGUUUAAUUUGAAGCUACGCGAAGAACCUUACCAGGUCUUGACAUACUAUGCAAAUCUAAGAGAUUAGACGUUCCCUUCGGGGACAUGGAUACAGGUGGUGCAUGGUUGUCGUCAGCUCGUGUCGUGAGAUGUUGGGUUAAGUCCCGCAACGAGCGCAACCCUUAUUAUCAGUUGCCAGCAUUAAGUUGGGCACUCUGGUGAGACUGCCGGUGACAAACCGGAGGAAGGUGGGGAUGACGUCAAAUCAUCAUGCCCCUUAUGACCUGGGCUACACACGUGCUACAAUGGAUGGUACAACGAGUUGCGAACUCGCGAGAGUAAGCUAAUCUCUUAAAGCCAUUCUCAGUUCGGAUUGUAGGCUGCAACUCGCCUACAUGAAGUCGGAAUCGCUAGUAAUCGCGGAUCAGCAUGCCGCGGUGAAUACGUUCCCGGGCCUUGUACACACCGCCCGUCACACCAUGAGAGUUUGUAACACCCAAAGUCG
rnacentral:rRNA from 2 species